GAGCGGCGAACGGGUGAGUAACACGUGAGUAACCUGCCCCAUGCUUUGGGAUAACCCUCGGAAACGGGGGCUAAUACCGGAUAUGACUUCUGGCCGCAUGGUCGGGGGUGGAAAGUUUUUCGGCGUGGGAUGGGCUCGCGGCCUAUCAGCUUGUUGGUGGGGUGAUGGCCUACCAAGGCGACGACGGGUAGCCGGCCUGAGAGGGCGACCGGCCACACUGGGACUGAGACACGGCCCAGACUCCUACGGGAGGCAGCAGUGGGGAAUAUUGCACAAUGGGCGGAAGCCUGAUGCAGCGACGCCGCGUGAGGGAUGACGGCCUUCGGGUUGUAAACCUCUUUCAGCACCGACGAAGCGAGAGUGACGGUAGGUGCAGAAGAAGCGCCGGCCAACUACGUGCCAGCAGCCGCGGUAAGACGUAGGGCGCGAGCGUUGUCCGGAUUUAUUGGGCGUAAAGAGCUCGUAGGCGGCUUGUCGCGUCGACUGUGAAAACCCGCGGCUCAACCGCGGGC
rnacentral:rRNA from 1 species